rnacentral:rRNA from 1 species
UGGGGAAUAUUGCACAAUGGACGGAAGUCUGAUGCAGCAACGCCGCGUGCGGGAUGACGGCCUUCGGGUUGUAAACCGCUUUUUCUCAUGACGAAGUUUUUUGACGGUAGUGGGGGAAGAAGCACCGGCUAACUACGUGCCAGCAGCCGCGGUGAUACGUAGGGUGCGAGCGUUGUCCGGAAUUAUUGGGCGUAAAGAGCUUGUAGGCGGUUUGUCGCGUCGAUAGUGCAAACUCAGUGCUUAACGCUGAGCCUGCUGUUGAUACGGGCAGACUAGAGGAAGGUAGGGGAGGAUGGAAUUCCCGGUGGAGCGGUGGAAUGCGCAGAUAUCGGGAGGAACACCGGUGGCGAAGGCGGUUCUCUGGGCCUUUCCUGACGCUGAGAAGCGAAAGCGUGGGGAGCGAACAGG